CCCAGCCCUGUCCAUAGCUUGGCUUUCCUGACUGCUAAGUGGCUGGUACAACCCCAGCUGUGGGGCAGAGGGAAAGCCCCAGCAAACAUCAGCUUCACAGCUUUCAGCUGGUGAGGUCUGCAGUCAGCUGGUUACAACUUCCAGCAGAGUGCCAUGGGGCAAUAAAGGACACAUGGAAAUGGGAUACUCACCCUGGGGAGAGUGUGGGGAAAGCCUUUUUGCACCCUAGUUAUCCUCCUCUGUUGCAUUGUGUGCCUGGCACAGGCCCUUCCCCAAAGAUUAUUGUCAUAAAGCUCUCAGAGAUGCCUGGCACGAGGGGAUGUAACAGCAGGAAGACUGGAGAGCGUCACUACAGGGCGAGCAGCGUCUUGUGAGGUCUGAGAUAAACGGCUCUGGCAGAUCGUGUUCACAGGCAUCUGCAACACUAAGGAGGUGUGCUGCUCUAUCUGCCUCUCUGCUCAAGGUACGUUUAAGGUACCAUAAGUGUCUCUACGGAGAUGACAAUUUCCCUCUCACUACCUCUGCCUCUGGUAGUUGUUGGGAAUAUUGCUGGGCUCCAAAAUUAGAUGGAGAUAGAGAAAAAAUAUCUUAAUUUUAUAAAACUAAAUUCAGAUAGUAAAAUAAUAAUCUGUCCUAUGUUGUGGUUAGGUUCAGGUACUGCACAUCAGGGCUUUUAACUUCUAAGCUUAGCUCUAUCAUUAAUUUGACUUUAGUAUGUAGGCUUGGCUGUGUUUCCUGACUGCUCUAUCAAUUUUCCCAUCACUACCAGUGGAAUAACAGCUCAGAGCACUAAGGAUUUGUUUGUUAAUAUUUGUAGGCCAUUUUGAGAUCCAUUUUGAAUUAUUGUUUGUGGAUUUAGAAGAGUUCCAGCAGUGAUUUCAGAGCACGCUGUGGAUCUGAGGUACCUCCUACAAAAUGGAUUUGGCCUCCGUUCCUUCAUUCUGUUCUCUUGGUCAACUUCUCUGUGCCAGGGAAAGCAGUAACAGAGAAAGGAUGGAGAAUUCCUGCUGCAUUUCCCAAUUCAGAGGAAGAACGCAGCUCCUAAGGUCAGAGAACAUAACUUCCAGCUGAUUAACCAAUACACAAGCUCGAUAUACAAGCUCGGUGUGCAGUGAGCACUGGCUGCCUUUGGCGAAAUGAUGGGAAGGCAGCCAAAGACAAACAUGCUGGAUGUCCGCAGGCUGGAAGAAGAGUAGACAAGGGGAAUUGGAGUCAAAAGCAGUUCUAUGUCCUCUGGUUUGCUGUUGUGUUCAGAUCCCCCAGCCUGAGUGGGAUCUUUGACAUGCUCGUACUGCUGCCAGCUGCAUUCACAUCCAUGCACAUCCUGCAUACAGAUGGUCGGACUGAGCAUCCUGACUUUCUCCUCCAUCAAUUGAGGUGAUACAAUAAUCGUAUCAAGGGAUCUGUGAUGAAAACUAUCAUGCACAUAGAUGAAAGGAGAGGAUCUGAGUAGGAAAAAUGCAGUCUUGUGCUCCGCAUAAAAGCGGUGCCCAUUGACACACUUACUUUGUAGAUCUGUGAUUGUGACUUCAUUAAUUUAAGCCUGUUUGAAGACAGCGGUGUUUUGCAGCUGACAGCAGCAAGGCCAGCGAGGAGCAAUCUAUUACAAAACAGGCUGUGUAGUUCACCGUGUAAUUGGGACUUGCUGCUGAGCUCCCUUCUUUGGAAGGGGAUUUCUAAAACAUUUCUUAUCACGAUUAAUAGGAGCCUGCCAAAGUGUGCCUCCUCUUCCCCUCCUACAACCCAUUCCAGUGGGAGAGCUCCCAUUUUUGCCAGCCGGUGCCAUCUGUAACCACCCCUGUGCUAACAAAAGCAUAUUCAAGCCAUAAAUUCCCAAUAAACUAAAUAUAGUCAGGGACA
rnacentral:lncRNA from 1 species